rnacentral:lncRNA from 1 species
UGCUAACUAUCCAAAAUUGCACUGGACACUUUUUUUUGUCAUUGAUGCUUGUGUUCCCUUGCAAGGUGCUUGAUUUCUUCUAGUUCAUCUUGCAGAAUAUAUUAAUAUGUAAACAUUUGCAACAUGAGCCCCAUCAUAAAUCUCCUCAAAAGAUGGCAAGUGGAAAGAUUCAAGUUCAAGUCCAUAGUCGCACACGAACUUGCGAAUUGCUUUUGCUUGCUGGAAAUCUAGGC